rnacentral:rRNA from 1 species
CGAACGGGUGAGUAACGCGUGAGGAACCUGCCUCAAAGAGGGGGACAACAGUUGGAAACGACUGCUAAUACCGCAUAAGCCCACGGCUCGGCAUCGAGCAGAGGGAAAAGGAGCGAUCCGCUUUGAGAUGGCCUCGCGUCCGAUUAGCUAGUUGGUGAGGUAACGGCCCACCAAGGCGACGAUCGGUAGCCGGACUGAGAGGUUGAACGGCCACAUUGGGACUGAGACACGGCCCAG